rnacentral:rRNA from 1 species
AGAGUUUGAUCCUGGCUCAGAAUCAACGCUGGCGGCGCGCCUAACACUGCAAGUCGAACGAGAAAGUGGAGCAAUCCAUGAGUACAGUGGCGUACGGGUGAGUAACACGUGGAUCAUCUACCUCUUUGUGGGGAAUAACCCUGGGAAACCGGGGAUAAUACCGCAUAAGCCUGAGAAGGGAAAGCAGCAAUGCGCUGAGAGAGGAGUCCGCGGCCGAUUAGCUAGUUGGCAGGGUAAAAGCCUACCAAGGCAGAGAUCGGUAGCCGGCCUGAGAGGGCACACGGCCACACUGGCACUGAAACACGGGCCAGACUCCUACGGGAGGCAGCAGUGGGGAAUCUUGCACAAUGGGGGAAACCCUGAUGCAGCGACGCCGCGUGAGCGAUGAAGCCCCUCGGGGUGUAAAGCUCUUUCGGCAGGGAAGAUUAUGACGGUACCUGCAGAAGCAGCUGCGGCUAACUACGUGCCAGCAGCCGCGGUAAUACGUAGGCAGCAAGCGUUGUUCGGAGUUACUGGGCGUAAAGGGUGUGUAGGCGGUUGUUUAAGUUUGGUGUGAAAUCUCCCGGCUCAACUGGGAGGGUGCGCCGAAUACUGAAUGACUUCGAGUGCGGGAGAGGAUAGUGGAAUUCCUGGUGUAGCGGUGAAAUGCGUAGAUAUCAGGAGGAACACCGGUGGUGUAGACGGCUAUCUGGACCGUAACUGACGCUGAGACACGAAAGCGUGGGUAGCAAACAGGAUUAGAUACCCUAGUAGUCC